GUUAUAAUUUGUGUUCUAGCUCGUGUUGUUAAGAGACUGAUCGAUCCCGAGAUGAAACACCCCGAUCCCUGGGAUAGUAUACGCUCACUUAAAAGUAGGGUAUAAUGGUUUUAGUCAAAUACCAAAAAGGUGAUUUUUUUUCGCGGUCGUUUUUAUGUUUUAAGGCGCACUUGAAAAAAAAAACCACACACACACGGCCGAUUACCCGAUCAAUGGAGUCUAUCUAUAGCUAUGUGCGUGUUUUGGUUAUAUCAAGUGCAUUAAUGCUAAUGCGUGCCGCCGAGAGAACGUAUCGGCGCACAGUGCAGACAUCCGGUGCUCAUUGCCUCAUUAUGUACAAGCACAAAGUCCUCUAUUCGGUAUUUAUAAGUAACCAGCGCACGGGGUGAUUUCCUCCGGUUGAAUAAUAUUUUGUAUUUACAAAUUUCUACCAAGUACCCAGUAUAAUCAUGUACAAGAAACCCGGGAACGCGUUGAUAUCGACCGGAGGAAGUCGGACAUAACGGGAAUACAACCGAUUUAUUCGGUGUGGACUAGCUGUAUUAUUAUUUGAUUUGGUACCUAUGUAUAAUUACACGAAAAACGACACAAAACGGUCGGAGUCGAUUGUAUUUGUUUUAAGCAGUCGGGUAAGAAUAUAAUUAAAACAGCGUGGACGCCCUACAGGCUCAGCUCCCAACCUGUAAACACAGUUUCGGCACAGUUCAGUGCUAAUUACACAUAAAUUUACUAAUUAUAGUACGUACAGAUUUCUCAGUAAACUAUCAAAUAAUAAAAUAAGUUCAAGCUAAACUAAACAACGUCACACUCCAAUCGCCAAUUACAAUA